GUGGAUACUCAACUGAUGAAACCAUUACACAGGCAUUGCUGCAUAUUAUGCGAGUAAUAGCAAGGAAGAAUUCAAUUGAUGAGCAACAGCAAAGUUCCAUUUACGUGCUCGUAAGCUACAGCCGCGGCAGUCUGAUUCGCUCAAUCGAGCGACAACAAAGUUGGGCUCCAAAUAGAUAUAUAUCAGCAGCUUUAAAUAUAAAUCAAUAAGCGAGCAAAUGGCAAACGCUGCAUGUAAGCACUAAAUCAAAGUGUCAAUACGGGUAACUGAUACACUGGAGCGGAGCGGAGUCGAGUUGGCCAGCGGAAAUUGAAUUAUGCCCCGUUGGACUGCCAGACUUCAGUCUGGACAUGCAUGAAUGAGCGUUUGACUGAAUGGAUGCUGUUGCCGCGGUUGCUGCUACUGCUGCUGCUGAGGUGGCUGCUGCAAAUGUUGCUGCUGAAACCGCUGCCGCUUUGAGUGACAGACGGCGGACAAGUGGUGCUCGAAUCGGGUGCAACCACUUUCGUUGGCCAACGGACAUCGCCGACCGGCAGCGGCGACUGUGUGAAUCUGUGGUAUAUUUGCUGGAGUCGGCCAAAUCUAAUGUCCACGUCUGAACGAUUUCCUUUGCAAACCCGUUUCAGCGGGCAUUAGAUACGAUACGCAUAUGCGAUACUAUGGUUUAUGGUCCACAAUUAAAAUGGUGAGACGUGAGUGCACAGCCAGGGAAGUCUCUGUGAAGGGGUCGAUUUCCCUUUCAAAAG